rnacentral:sRNA from 1 species
AUCGGCAUUGCUGAUGAGCGCUGGAAUGAAUCUGCCGCUCGCAAUGCUGGCGUCGCUUCUGCAUUUGACCACGGAUGUACUGGCAGAGGCGUUUAGCGACGGUGAGGAAGGUCGGUGCGGUUUCGCCCCGGCCUUUUUUGUU